GGGAGCAGGGGGGAUAGCACUAGGAGAUAUACCUAAUGCUAAAUGAUGAGUUAAUGGGUGCGGCACACCAACAUGGCACAUGUAUUCAUAUGUAACAAACCUGCAUGUUGUGUACAUGUACCCUAAAACUUAAAGUAUAAUAAUAAAAUUUAAAAAAAAAGAAUUGAAACAAUUCUUUCAAGAAUAACUUAAAACAAAUGCCUCUAUCCUUAUCUUCAUGUUAGCAUUUUAAAUUGUUUAUAAAAUAUGCAUGUAUAAUUAAAUGAAGAUUUGAGUUUUACAAUAAGCUAUCUAACCCUUAAUGCUUGUUUUUCAAAUCAUCUAAGUUUAUUUUAUCCCAUCCAAGGGAACCUCUGGAUGGAAUAGAAGCUGUCAUGGCAAUGGGAGCUGAAGAAGAAGAUGCAUUCUCCUCAAUGAGAGACCUUGGCAGCAGCUAGGCCAGUAAGCAGUGGCUGCUACUGUUUCCCAGACUAUUGAUUAAGCAGUUUGUAACCAUGGCAAUGAUCUUGUCUUCCUGGAAAGGAAUUGUCAACACACCUUGCCAGUUUCUUACCCUAAACCUUUCAUCACUCUAAAGAAAAUCCACCCAGAUUCUUAAACCGCAUUCUCAAGGGAAAGCUUGAGAACAUGGGAAAGCUUCAAGAUACAGGGAAGGAGAGGACUGAGGUGACGGGUGUAUGCCUGUUUUUUUCUACUGAAUUUAGAACAUUGUUUUUACUUGCUAUUCACUACAAAGGGAGCUAUCUCUUUGACUCCUACUGAUGAGGAAUGCAAGUUUAUUCUUGUGACAAAUAUUUGCUAUACAACUACUUAUUUGCACCUGUGCAGAGUUACAACGGCUGAACUGCCUUGUUCUAGGAGGCCACUGUCUAAUUGUCUCCAGAGGAGAAACCCAAGAGAGAAAGGCUUAGAGGAACUCCACUAAAAGGGAAUCCCAGCAAACGUGGAGGCAGUUCAAAUGCAAGUUUGUAGCUGCUGGCUGGCAAGAUGAGGACACUGGGAAAAGAGUCCCUUGGAUCUUCCCUAAAGCAAGGUCUGAUGAGAAAGCAGAAUGGGGUGUACCACAGUGUCUUGAGUAUGGCAGCUUCACUGUAAGUCUUAAAGUCAGGUAGGCCACACUUUACAAUGCUGCCAUGCCCCCACACUUCAAAGAGGCAGCCUGGAGGACACUGGGGGAACCAGUCUCCGCCACACUUGAACCUUCAGACCAACCUGGAGCAGUGAACUUCUAAAGGCCCAUUGACGUGCAAGGCUCAAAUCAUUAUUUUAAUCAAAUCCUGAUUCUACAACGCAGAUGGAUCAUCUUAAACUUUAGGCAAUAAAGCAAUAAUAACUGAAAUUAAAGAGGCUGGCCUCUAUUUUAUUUUAUUUUAUUUAUUUUAUUUUAUUAUUUUAUUUUAUUUUAUUUUAUUUUAUUUUAUUUUAUUUUAUUUUAUUUUAUUUAUUUUAUUUUAUUUUUGAGACGGAGUCUCCCUCUGUCGCCAGGCUGGAGUGCAGUGGCGCAAUCCCGGCUCACUGCAAGCUCCGCCUCCCGGGUUCACGCCAUUCUCCUGCCUCAGCCUCCCGAGUAGCUGUGACUACAGGCGCCCGCCACCACGCCCGGCUAAUUUUUUUGUAUUUUUAGUAGACACGGGGUUUCACCGUGUUAGCCAGGAUGGGCUCCAUUUCCUGACCUUGUGAUCUGCCCGCCUCAGCCUCCAAAGUACUGGGACUGCGGGCGUGAGCCACUGCGCCCAGCCGGACUCAUUUGAUAAGACUAAUCUGUGUCCUGGAGCUCCUAGAGGCAGGGCUAUCUCUCUUUCUUCUUGGUAUUCCCAGCACAUAACAGAAAUUACAGUGCUUAGUAGGAGCUCCCAUGGUAUUUAUGAAAUCUUUUCUCUGCAGGGGCAGCCAGGCCAAUGUGGUCACUACUGCCUGGUUAAGUUUUGAAAAGUCUACAUGCCUUUAUAACCACACCUGCAACCAGGAUAUAGAACACAUCCAUCUUUCCAAGAAGCUCCCUGUGCCCUCUCUCACGAGUGCUCCUCUCGCUUCCAGCUGCCAGUUUAAGCAGCGUCUAAUACACAAAUGGUCACUGAGGGGGAAGAGCUCUGAGAAUCACCACUGCAACUGCAUUGAGAGUACAGGACUCAGGUUGUUUGAUCAGGUGUUGUUCCUGCAGCAUAUCUUGCCAUGUAUAAGCCCUCUAUUUCACCCCACACACGCAUACAGACACACAAUGAAGAAAGUGGGAGUCACACUGUCAUUCUGCCACCUUCUCUAGCUCAUCUACUCUUCUUGCAAAUGAACUUCAGAUGUUAAACAGUGUUUUUACUUACAUCUUUCAAAAUGGGGAAAUGCCAUUCCUAAUACAACUACUGCCUCUUUAAAUGUUUUGUGUCACGGUGAUUUGUUGCAGAUGGGUAACAUGUAGCCAGAUGGGGGUCUGUUCUUUACCUCAAAACUAGGAUUCUUCAGGGACCCAAUAUGAUGGAGUGUGCUUUGCAUAAUGGGCUUAUUUGAUGAGCACAGUUGUUUUUUGACUAAAACCAAUCUAUAAGCUUAGGCCAUACAUCAUGUUGCUAAAUAAAUAAAUACUAAAUAAAUCAAGCC
rnacentral:lncRNA from 10 species